GAGUGGACGCUGGCGUAGGGCCUAACACAUGCAAGUCGACCGGCAGCACAGAGGAGCUUGCUCCUUGGGUGGCGAGUGGUGGACGGGUGAGGAAUACAUCGGAAUCUACUCUGUCGUGGGGGAUAACGUAGGGAAACUUACGCUAAUACCGCAUACGACCUACGGGUGAAAGCAGGGGAUCUUCGGACCUUGCGCGAUUGAAUGAGCCGAUGUCGGAUUAGCUAGUUGGCGGGGUAAAGGCCCACCAAGGCGACGAUCCGUAGCUGGUCUGAGAGGAUGAUCAGCCACACUGGAACUGAGACACGGUCCAGACUCCUACGGGAGGCAGCAGUGGGGAAUAUUGGACAAUGGGCGCAAGCCUGAUCCAGCCAUACCGCGUGGGUGAAGAAGGCCUUCGGGUUGUAAAGCCCUUUUGUUGGGAAAGAAAUCCAGCUGGCUAAUACCCGGUUGGGAUGACGGUACCCAAAGAAUAAGCACCGGCUAACUUCGUGCCAGCAGCCGCGGUAAUACGAAGGGUGCAAGCGUUACUCGGAAUUACUGGGCGUAAAGCGUGCGUAGGUGGUCGUUUAAGUCCGUUGUGAAAGACCUGGGCUCAACACUGGGAACUGCAGUGGAUAAUGGGCGACGGAGAGUGUGGU
rnacentral:rRNA from 1 species